UACGAAGGGGGCUAGCGUUGCUCGGAAUCACUGGGCGUAAAGGGUGCGUAGGCGGGUCUUUAAGUCAGGGGUGAAAUCCUGGAGCUCAACUCCAGAACUGCCUUUGAUACUGAGGAUCUUGAGUUCGGGAGAGGUGAGUGGAACUGCGAGUGUAGAGGUGAAAUUCGUAGAUAUUCGCAAGAACACCGGUGGCGAAGGCGGCUCUCUGGACCGUAACUGACGCUGAGGCGCGAAAGCGUGGGGAGCAAACAGG
rnacentral:rRNA from 1 species